AACGAACGCUGGCGGCAGGCUUAACACAUGCAAGUCGAACGCCCCGCAAGGGAGUGGCAGACGGGCGAGUAACGCGUGGGAACAUACCACUUUUUACGGAAUUGCCCUGGGAAUUUGGAAAUAAUACCGUAAACGCCCCUCGGGGGAAAGAGUGUUCGGGGAAGGAUUGGCCCGGGUGGGAUUUGCCGGUUGGUGGGGUAAAGGCCUGCCAAGGCGACGUUCCAUAGCUGGUCUGAGAGGAUGAUCAGCUACAUUGGGACUGAGACACAGACCACACUCCGACGCGACGCAGCAGAGUGUAAUAUUGGACGAUGGGCGCAAGCCUGAUCCAGCCAUGCCGGGUAAGUGAUGAAGGCCUUAGGGUUCCGAAGCUCUUUCACCCGUGAAGAUAAUGACGGUAAUCGGAGAAGAAGCCCCGGCUAACUUCGUG
rnacentral:rRNA from 1 species